rnacentral:rRNA from 1 species
GUAAGCAUAUCAAUAAGCGGAGGAAAAGAAACCAACAGGGAUUGCCCUAGUAACGGCGAGUGAAGCGGCAACAGCUCAAAUUUGAAAUCUGGCGCAAGCCCGAGUUGUAAUUUGUAGAGGAUGCUUCUGGGUAGCGACCGGUCUAAGUUCCUUGGAACAGGACGUCAUAGAGGGUGAGAAUCCCGUAUGUGACCGGCCCGCACCCUUUACGUAGCUCCUUCGACGAGUCGAGUUGUUUGGGAAUGCAGCUCUAAAUGGGAGGUAAAUUUCUUCUAAAGCUAAAUACCGGCCAGAGACCGAUAGCGCACAAGUAGAGUGAUCGAAAGAUGAAAAGUACUUUGGAAAGAGAGUUAAAAAGCACGUGAAAUUGUUGAAAGGGAAGCGCCUGCAAUCAGACUUCGCGGCAGUGUUCCGCCGGUCUUCUGACCGGUUCAUUCUCUGUCGCGAGGCCAUCAUCGUCUCGGCCCGCUGGAUAAGACCUUGGGAAUGUAGCUCACCUUCGGGGGAGUGUUAUAGCUCAUGGUGAUGCAGCGAGGCUGGGGCGAGGUCCGCGCUUCGGCAAGGAUGAUGGCGUAAUGGUUGUCGGCGGCCCGUCUUGAAACACGGACCAAGGAGUCUAACAUCUAUGCGAGUGUUCGGGUGUCAAACCCCUACGCGUAAUGAAAGUGAACGGAGGUGGGAACCGCAAGGUGCACCAUCGACCGAUCCUGAUGUCCUCGGAUGGAUUUGAGUAAGAGCAUAGCUGUUGGGACCCGAAAGAUGGUGAACUAUGCCUGAAUAGGGUGAAGCCAGAGGAAACUCUGGUGGAGGCUCGCAGCGGUUCUGACGUGCAAAUCGAUCGUCAAAUUUGGGUAUAGGGGCGAAAGACUAAUCGAACCAUCUAGUAGCUGGUUCCUGCCGAAGU